AUUGAACGCUGGCGGCAGGCCUAACACAUGCAAGUCGAGCGGAGCGCCGGACGGGUGAGUAAUGCCUAGGUAUCUGCCUGGUCCUGGGGGAUAACGUCCGCAAAUGGGCGCUAAUACCGCAUACUCUCAGCUUAGUCUAGGUCGGAUUAGCUAGUUGGUGGGGUAAAGGCCUACCAAGGCGACGAGCAGUACCUGGUCUGAGAGGAUGAUCAGUCACACUGGAACUGAGACACGGUCAAGACUACUAAGGGAGGCAGCAGUGGGGAAGAUUGGACAAUGGGCGAAAGCCUGAUGCAGCCAUGCCGGGUGUGUGAAGAAGGUAUUCGGAUUGUAAAGCACUUUAAGUUGGGAGGCGUUACCAACAGAAUAAGCACCGGCUAACUUCGUGCCAGCAGCCGCGGUAAUUC
rnacentral:rRNA from 1 species